AACGAACGCUGGCGGCAGGCUUAACACAUGCAAGUCGAACGCCCCGCAAGGGGAGUGGCAGACGGGUGAGUAACGCGUGGGAACAUACCCUUUCCUGCGGAAUAGCUCUGGGAAACUGGAAUUAAUACCGCAUACGCCCUACGGGGGAAAGAUUUAUCGGGGAAGGAUUGGCCCGCGUUGGAUUAGCUAGUUGGUGGGGUAAAGGCCUACCAAGGCGACGAUCCAUAGCUGGUCUGAGAGGAUGAUCAGUCACAUUGGGACUGAGACACGGCCCAAGCUCCUACGGGAGGCAGCAGUGGGGAAUAUUGGACAAUGGGCGCAAGCCUGAUCCAGCCAUGCCGCGUGAGUGAUGAAGGCCUUAGGGUUGUAAAGCUCUUUCACCGAUGAAGGUAAUGACGGUAGUCGGAGAAGAAGCCCCGGCUAACUUCGUGCCAGCCGCCGCGGUAAGAC
rnacentral:rRNA from 1 species